CAGCAGUCGCCGCGGUAAUACAGAGGGUGCGAGCGUUAAUCGGAUUUACUGGGCGUAAAGCGUGCGUAGGCGGCUUCUUAAGUCGGAUGUGAAAUCCCUGAGCUUAACUUAGGAAUUGCAUUCGAUACUGGGAAGCUAGAGUAUGGGAGAGGAUGGUAGAAUUCCAGGUGUAGCGGUGAAAUGCGUAGAGAUCUGGAGGAAUACCGAUGGCGAAGGCAGCCAUCUGGCCUAAUACUGACGCUGAGGUACGAAAGCAUGGGGAGCAAACAGGAUUAGAGACCCGCGUAGUCCCUGUCUCUUAUAC
rnacentral:rRNA from 1 species